rnacentral:rRNA from 1 species
AACGAACGCUGGCGGUAUGCCUAACACAUGCAAGUCGCACGAGAAAGUACUUCGGUAUGAGUAGAGUGGCGCACGGGUGAGUAACACGUAGGUGACCUUCCGAAUAGUGGGGGAUAACUCGGAGAAAUCCGGGCUAAUACCGCAUAUGUACGACAAAUCUGAGAGUAGUCGUAGAAAGAAUGCCUCUACUUGUAAGCAUUCGCUAAUCGAUGGGCCUGCGGAGCAUUAGCUAGUGGGUGGGGUAAUGGACUACCAAGGCUACGAUGCUUAACGGAUCUGAGAGGAUGAUCCGUCACACUGGAACUGAGACACGGUCCAGACUCCUACGGGAGGCAGCAGUGGGGAAUAUUGCGCAAUGGACGCAAGUCUGACGCAGCAAUACCGCGUGAGUGAGGAAGGCCUUCGGGUUGUAAAGCUCUGUCAGGGUGGAAAAAUGGCAAGUGGUCUAAUAGGCCGCUUGAUUGAUGGUACACCCAAAGGAAGCACCGGCUAACUUCGUGCCAGCAGCCGCCGUAAAAC